rnacentral:other from 1 species
CUUUACCUGGCUUGUUUGCCAAUACUCACUGUCUUCUGAGCCGAUGUUAAUAUGCCUUGGGAGCCAGAAUGUGAACAUGGUUGUGCAAGCCCACCUUGAGUGGGAAGCCUGAAAUGUUCCUGAGGAUCCCACUUGAACCAACUGGGUUCGAGGCAAAUCAGUAUAGCGGCAAUGCUGGGGAAGCC